rnacentral:lncRNA from 10 species
AGUAAAGAGCUAUGAAACAUUUUGCUGCUGUUUACUAAAAGAUGAUAGGACUGUGGCAACUAAAUCUUGGAAAUGACUGAAGGAGUGGACUCACACUUUGAACACUGAUGUGAAAUGUCUAUCCUAUAGCUGCCAUGAUGGAGGGACCACAUGGAGAGCACCUAAAGAGAGAGAGAUAACCAAGGAACCACAAUUGUACCCAGACGAUGUUCCAGACAUGCGAGAGAGGAAGCCUCAGCUACUAUCUUAUGACAAUCAUGUGGGGAAUUGUGAGGGAGAACAACCUGGCUGAACCUAGUCAAAUCCUAGAACUAUCAAUGACUGUAAAUAUUGUUUAAUGCCAGUAAGUUUAAGUUGGUUUGUUACAUGUUAAUGAAUAAUGAAUAGGUAACAGUGCGUUUAUUCUGCCAGCAAAGAAAUAGGUUCAAACAGCAAAAGUUACUUUCUGACUGUCCUAAAAAAAUGUUUAUAGAAAAGACGAGAUUAGAAGAGCUACUUGAAUGGCCUCUAUGACUUUUUAUUGAGAAAACAGAUUCCUGGCCUAACCACAAGACUAAUAUUUUGAGAUAGGUCAUACCCCAAAGGUCAAUUCCAAGUUUGAAGACUAUCAAGGAUAGCAUCUCAGAAUAGUUCUUUCAUCUCAUUUUGCUACCAAAGUCCACAAACAACAGAAAAGGUAUUUGGCAAUCAAUGAAACACAGUAGUGUAGAAGUCACAGUUUUUCUUGCUUCUCUUCCUCUUUCUGAUGGUACACUUUAAGUUUACUAGUAUAAGCACCCUUCAGAAAGUAAGGAAUGCACCAGGUAACAGGAGCCCAUAACUGCAGGCUGCUGCUUUUCAUUCCCCUUUAAUCAGGGGAACAGUAAAUGAGGAAAAGGUUAAUACUUGAGCAACUUCAUUAUUAUCAUGAUCAAGUUUUACUUAAGCUAUGUUGCCUGGAAUCAAGACUGGAUGCCAGAUUUAUGAUUUCUUGUUUUGCCACAGUUACAUAAUCCAAUUAUAUAACACUUAUAAAUCAUCUUAUGCAAAAAAAAAAAAAAAAAAGAUACUUUAAAGUUUCCCUACUCAUUGCACCACUGGGCUGACUAGAUAGAGGCUUCAGUAAAGCCAUCUCUCCACAACCAAUCACAUCUUUCUCUGAUAGUUUCCAUGCUCAUCCUAGACAAGACUCCAGCACUCUUAUCAACUGGAAAGUAACUGUACCUUUUGACAGGCCUUUUAACACAUGUGUCCUUCUGAGUCAGAAAGACCUCUCCCCUCUCAUAUUCCCCCACAUGCCUUUUCCAGCUACAUAAAAUUAACCAUAAAUCAUUAUCUCCUCAGAUGACUUACACCCAACAUCUAAAUUUUAUUGUUUUGUGUUUUCUAAAUGUCUUAAAUCUAUGCAGCAAUGACAUAAUGUGUUUCUUCGCUUCUAUUUUCUGUUAUUUGAUAUAUUUUAGAUUAUAAACCUCUAGAUGGCAAGGUCAAAGUCUGUUAAAUUUGUUCUUGAAAUGGAGUGAUAUGAAACCCUAUUAAAAUCAUGCUUUAAUAAUAAUUAUUUGGGAAUAAUAAUGCCUAUCUGUCCUUUCUAAUUAAAAAAUUCAAUCACUAUAUUGAAGUCUUUCUCAUACUGUUUUACAAUCUCUCCGCUCUUCAGUAUUUAAAUUUCACCAAUUAAUUUUGAGUCCUAUAACGCUUUUUCUAAAGGGAGUCUUUUCUACAUGAGACAUGGUAGCUCUGCUAAAUUGGUCCUCCUUUGGCUUUUCCUACCAAAUUAAUGCAGCAAUAUAGGAAUAAAUCAGAGUCUAUAGAGAACCACAAAAGAAAACUAAUCAUCUAUACUUAAUGAUUUAAAGGAAUGGACAAGAAAAUUAAGAAUGAAACAAGACAAAACUUCCCUACAGAGACAUGUACAUCUUACUUCACACUGGCUGUUGGAAAAUGACACCCAUUCGGUUAAAACAAAUAGUAAUAAGAGAAAUCAAUUUUAUACUUUGUAGUUUUUAAAUUCACUGCCACUUUGUAUUCCUGGGACUCACUCACUGAUCCCACUGGCCUUUACUAGGGGUACAUGGUUGCUUUGGACAGAACUCUGAACAUACUUUUUUGUAUCCUAAGGGCUGGCCCAUUAGACUGCUUGGUGAACUGUGGUGAGCAAACAGAAUUGUUUUUCACCAAUUCUGUUUUCAGCAAAGAAUUCUUUUUAAUUCUCCUGUCCUGUGUUCUGCCAAAAUUCUUAAAAUACUGUUCAUGGAGAUUUUUUUGUUACCCGCCUUGGAGCCCAGAUGUAGGAACCAAGCCAGUGCAGCUGGUGAAACUUGGCUGAGUCUCACAGAUAAUUCAGUGUUUGAACAGUCUUUCUUUUUUUAUGUUGUUAUUAUUUUGGAAAAUUUGGGAGUAAAUGGUUUUAGACGUGCAGGUUGAGGGACUAGAAUUCAUAUAGGCUAAAGAUCUCCUAUCACUCUUUCAUAGAAUUUCACCAAACUGGGCAAAUAUAAAAAAUCAGAUCUCCUGCCUCUUCAAACCCUGUACCUUGAAUUAAAGAGACUGACUUUUCAGGGCAGGAUGGGGAAAGGAGAACAUUUUCCUGUUGCUUGAUCUUUUCUUUUUCAAAAGACUUAAUGUCAUGAAUAUAAACACAUUAUGCCCAAAAGCAAAAUUUUAAAACCAAGAGAAUUUUAGGAGCAAGAAAUACUCAUUCAGAAAUUCCGAUAGAAAACCCAGUGAUGCUUAGGGCAAUGAAAGUGAUUUUACACUAGACUUUACUUCUGCUAAAUUCUGGCACCACAUUUACUACUUACAAAGCAAUUGCAUUUUAGCUGACACCAUAUUAUAUUGAUAUGACAUGAACAUAAUAUUAAUCUCUCUGACCUACAUUCCAAUUUUCAUUCUUCCAUGGAAUAGGAUAAUAAUAAUAGCAACUACUGGUGAAGUGCUUACUGAAUUGUGUUAUGUGUGUUACAUGGAUUAACUCAUUUAAUUCUCUCCAUAAAUGAAUGGGGGAGGUGCAAGUACUAUGCCUAGUUAUCCAUAAGGAAUCUACAACCUACACAGAUUAGUGAUUUAUCCAAGAACUCAAAGCUAGUUAAUGGCAGAGCUGAGAUUUGAGCCUAAGUCAUCUAAUUCCUGAGACUGGAUCAGAAAUGCUAUAUUGUGCCACAUUUUCAAGGAAGAGGUGGAGUCACUGCUAAAAUACAAGGAACUGCACAUAACCAUGGUUGUGCACACAGGAGUGUGUUUGGUUUUGAACAUUACCCACCAAUAUGUUGGAUAGAAAGAGCAUAAUGGAAAGAGCUUAAGAACUGACUACUCAACUAUGCUGUGAAUUCUUUCUCUCCUCACGGAAAAUUGCCUGUUUUGCUCUUUCUGUGCAGACUGACUAGCUAAUCUGAUAAAUAAAUAAAAGAAAAUGGUAUAAAUGACUCAUAACUACUUGAUAUGUAUCCUUUCCUGUCUCAUGUAUGUUUUAUUAGAAAUCACCAGGGCCUUAAUCUCAUGGGCUGAGUAACAUGAGAAACUCCAGAAUCGGGAUGCGUU